rnacentral:rRNA from 1 species
UGGGGAAUAUUGGACAAUGGGCGCAAGCCUGAUCCAGCCAUGCCGCGUGAGUGAUGACGGCCCUAGGGUUGUAAAGCUCUUUCACCGGUGAAGAUAAUGACGGUACCCGGAGAAGAAGACCCGGCUAACUUCGUGCCAGCAGCCGCGGUAAUACGAAGGGGGCUAGCGUUGUUCGGAUUUACUGGGCGUAAAGCGCACGUAGGCGGACUUUUAAGUCAGGGGUGAAAUCCCGGGGCUCAACCCCGGAACUGCCUUUGAUACUGGAAGUCUGGAGUAUGGGAGAGGUGAGUGGAAUUCCGAGUGUAGAGGUGAAAUUCGUAGAUAUUCGGAGGAACACCAGUGGCGAAGGCGGCUCACUGGACCAUUACUGACGCUGAGGUGCGAAAGCGUGGGGAGCAAACAGG